rnacentral:misc_RNA from 1 species
AUUUGAUUCCAAUCAUGAGGAAAAAUAACGGUGAAGGUAAAUACUCUUGCCAGGGCUUCUACACAUACAAUGACAAGGAAGAGGCAAGCCCAGAUCCCGAAAUAUCAAAAUAUAUAGAAAUGGCGAGAAGUAUGUCUGGUAUCACCAUUAGAUCAAAGUUGGCAACGUUGUCCGAUGGAGAAAUUGUUGAGAUGAUUCUUUUCCCUGUACUGAAUGAAGCAUGUCGCAUGAUAUCAGAGGCAAUUAUAGUGAAAUCCUCUGAUCUUGAUGUUGCUUCAGUUUUGGGUAUGGGAUUCCCUGGAUACAGGGGAGGCAUAAUUUUUUGGUCUCACUCUGUUGGCUCCAAAUAUAUUUGUUCAAAACUGGAAGAAUGGUCGAAGGAGUAUGGAGAGUUUUUCAAGCCUUGUGCAUACUUAGUCGAACAAGCUUCCAAGAGAAGUUCUUUGGGGGCGCAGGUUAAGCAGGCCAAGUCGCUUUUGUAAGAUUGUCAUGAUGACAACAACAUAUCAUUCUAAUACCCAGUUCAUAUGUCAGAUAUUUGUGCAAUGUUGUAAAUACUCAUGCUAGUUGGAAUUUACCCACACACUGUAGUUGCUUGAUCUUUAUGUAUCAUUCACCUAACGGGAUCAUAGUGACUGAGACUGCAGUUAUGUGUUGUAUAAAGUCUAUGGAUAGAGUUGGCUUGAAAUGGAUAAAGAUGAAAAGGAAGAUGGUGCUGAUCGCUGUAUUAAAUAUACAUGUAAUUCAGGUGAAGUUUGUGUUUUUACAUGUCAAUCAACAGUUUUCAUUUUUUGGUUUUCUUCUUUGUCGGAGUCAAACAGUAUCUGCUUUUAGACGCAUACUAUUGUGUUUAGUGGCGGAGCCACUCUUGUUCAAGGGGUGUCAAUUUAUUUUUUAAAGUACAG